GGAUGUGAGGGUGAUCUGGCUAUGACAUCGGUCACCCCAUUGAUUGGCAGGGUUGAUUCAACUGAUCUGGCUGGCUAGGCAGGUGUCCCCAGCCUCCCUCACUGCUCCAUGGGAAUCCCUCCCAAAGCUGUGAGCUUAGUUUAAGAAGAUGACCUUCUCUGAUAGAGGAGGAUCAUUCUUUAGUCAAGAGUAUACAACUA
rnacentral:snRNA from 1 species